AUACUUACCUGGCAGGGGAGAUACCAUGAUCACGAAGGUGGUUUUCCAGGGCAAGGCUUAUCCAUUGCACUCCGGAUGUGCUGACCCCUGCGAUUUCCCCAAAUGUGAGAAACUCGACUGCAUAAUUUGUGGUAGUGGGGGAUUGCAUUUGCGCUCGCCCCUG
rnacentral:snRNA from 1 species